GCCUGAUCAGCCAUGCCGCGUGCAGGAUGAAGGCCUUAGGGUCGUAAACUGCUUUUGUACGGAACGAAAAGCCUCCUUCUAAUAAAGGGGGGUCAUGACGGUACCGUAAGAAUAAGCACCGGCUAACUACGUGCCAGCAGCCGCGGUAAUACGUAGGGUGCAAGCGUUAAUCGGAAUUACUGGGCGUAAAGCGUGCGCAGGCGGUGAUGUAAGACAGUUGUGAAAUCCCCGGGCUCAACCUGGGAACUGCAUCUGUGACUGCAUCGCUGGAGUGCGGCAGAGGGGGAUGGAAUUCCGCGUGUAGCAGUGAAAUGCGUAGAUAUGCGGAGGAACACCGAUGGCGAAGGCAAUCCCCUGGGCCUGCACUGACGCUCAUGCACGAAAGCGUGGGGAGCAAACAGGAUUAGAUACCCUGGUAGUCCACGCCCUAAACGAUGUCAACUGGUUGUUGGGUCUUCACUGACUCAGUAACGAAGCUAACGCGUGAAGUUGACAGCCUGGGGAGUACGGCCGCAAGGUUGAAACUCAGAGGAAUUGACGGGGACCCGCACAAGCAGUGGAUGAUGUGGGUUUAAUUCGAUGCAACGCGAAAACCUUACCCACCUUUGACAUGUACGGAACUUGCCAGAGAUGGC
rnacentral:rRNA from 1 species